rnacentral:snoRNA from 16 species
GCAGAUGAUGAGCUACUCCCGGCUGAAAGAUGAUGAACCACCUACCGGCUGAGG